UACGAAGGGGGGCUAGCGUUGUUCGGAUUUACUGGGCGUAAAGCGCACGUAGGCGGAUCGUUAAGUCGGGGGUGAAAUCCUGGAGCUCAACUCCAGAACUGCCUUCGAUACUGGCGAUCUUGAGUCCGGAAGAGGUGAGUGGAAUUCCUAGUGUAGAGGUGGAAUUCGUAGAUAUUAGGAAGAACACCAGUGGCGAAGGCGGCUCACUGGCCGGUAGUGACGCUGAG
rnacentral:rRNA from 1 species